rnacentral:tRNA from 1 species
ACGUUGGUGGUUCAUUGGUAGAAUUCUUACCUUCCAUACUGGUGACCUGGGUUAGAUUCCCAGCCAGCGCA